UAGGUGUGUGUGUCGGGAUCGAACUAAAGGGGAGAAACAAGGGGACACCCUUGUUUUCAAAGAACCCAAGAAAUUGAAGGGGAAUCUCAUUGCAAAUCAAGUGCAUGAAGUCAAAUUCUGUAUAAUCUAAGCUUUCUAAACAAACGCGAUAAAGGAAGAAAGUUCAAGCCACACGAAGCAAGAAGGAAAUCACGACCGAGGUAAAACUCAAGUUUAGGUGGUUAUGCUUCGCUUGGAUCGAACACACUUUGAAUGCUGUUCAUGCGCUUCCGCAAAUUUUGUAUAACAUGUAAAAGGGUCAAAACACUUUUGUUAAAUGGCUUAUGUUUAGCAGUUGAAUCUUAAAGUUAAACAUGUUUUGUUAUUUUGUAAA